rnacentral:rRNA from 1 species
GAAUAGAUACCCGGGUAGUCCACGCAGUAAACGAUGGAGACUAGGUGUGGCGGGAGUUGACCCCGUGCCGUGCCGGCGCUAACGCAGUAAGUCUCCCGCCUGGGGAGUACGGCCGCAAGGCUAAAACUCAAAGGAAUUGACGGGGGGCCCGCACAAGCAGCGGAGCGUGUGGUUUAAUUCGACGCAACGCGCAACACCUUACCAAGGUUUGACAUCCCUGGAACCUGCCUGAAAGGGUGGGGGUGCCUUCGGGAGCCAGGAGACAGGUGCUGCAUGGCUGUCGUCAGCUCGUGUCGUGAGAUGUUGGGUUAAGUCCCGCAACGAGCGCAACCCCCGUGGCUAGUUACGAGGUGUGUCUAGCCAGACUGCCGGAACCAAACCGGAGGAAGGUGGGGAUGAUGUCAAGUCAGCAUGGCCCUUACGCCUUGGGCGACACACACGCUACAAUGGCCGGGACAAUGGGCAGCCAAGCGGUAACGCGGAGCCAAUCCCCCAAACCCGGGUCUCAGUUCAGACUCGUGGGCUGCAACUCGCCACGUGAAGGCGG